UACGUAGGCAGCAAGCGUUGUUCGGAAUUACUGGGCGUAAAGAGUGUGUAGGCGGUGCUCUAAGUCUGUUGUGAAAUCUCCCGGCUUAACUGGGAGGGUGCGGCGGAGACUGGAGUGCUAGAGUGUGGGAGAGGUAAGCGGAAUUCCUGGUGUAGCGGUGAAAUGCGUAGAUAUCUGGAGGAACACCGGUGGCGAAGGCGGCAUCCUGGACCGAGAUUGACGCUGAGGCGCGAAAGCCAGGGGAGCAAACGGG
rnacentral:rRNA from 1 species